rnacentral:rRNA from 1 species
UACGAAGGGGGCUAGCGUUGCUCGGAAUCACUGGGCGUAAAGGGUGCGUAGGCGGGUUUUUAAGUCAGAGGUGAAAUCCUGGAGCUCAACUCCAGAACUGCCUUUGAUACUGAAGAUCUUGAGUUCGGGAGAGGUGAGUGGAACUGCGAGUGUAGAGGUGAAAUUCGUAGAUAUUCGCAAGAACACCAGUGGCGAAGGCGGCUCACUGGCCCCGAUACUGACGCUGAGGCACGAAAGCGUGGGGAGCCAAACAGA